rnacentral:rRNA from 1 species
CAGGCCUAACACAUGCAAGUCGAACGAUGCCUUUCGGCCGCUAGUGGCGCACGGGUGCGUAACGCGUGGGAAUCUGCCCUGGGGUCUGGGAUAACCGUUGGAAACGACGGCUAAUACCGGAUGAUGAUGAAAAUCCAAAGAUUUAUCGCCCUGGGAUGAGCCCGCGUCGGAUUAGCUGGUUGGUGGGGUAAAGGCCUACCAAGGCGACGAUCCGUAGCUGGUCUGAGAGGAUGAUCAGCCACACUGGGACUGAGACACGGCCCAGACUCCUACGGGAGGCAGCAGUGGGGAAUAUUGGACAAUGGGCGAAAGCCUGAUCCAGCAAUGCCGCGUGAGUGAUGAAGGCCUUAGGGUUGUAAAGCUCUUUUACCCGGGAUGAUAAUGACAGUACCGGGAGAAUAAGCCCCGGCUAACUCCGUGCCAGCAGCCGCGGUAAU